GAGAAGAACGUAGUGAAAUGCGAUAAGUAGUGUGAAUUGCAGAAUUCAGUGAAUCAUCGAAUCUUUGAACGCACAUUGCGCCCUUUGGUAUUCCAAAGGGCAUGCCUGUUCGAGCGUCAUUUGUACCCUCAAGCUUUGCUUGGUGUUGGGCGUCUUGUCUCUAGCUUUGCUGGAGACUCGCCUUAAAGUAAUUGGCAGCCGGCCUACUGGUUUCGGAGCGCAGCACAAGUCGCACUCUCUAUCAGCAAAGGUCUAGCAUCCAUUAAGCCUUUUUUUCAACUUUUGACCUCGGAUCAGGUAGGGAUACCCGCUGAACUUAAGCAUAUCAAUAAGCGGAGGA
rnacentral:misc_RNA from 1 species